rnacentral:rRNA from 1 species
AUUGAACGCUGGCGGCAGGCCUAACACAUGCAAGUCGAGCGGAUGAAGGGAGCUUGCUCCUGGAUUCAGCGGCGGACGGGUGAGUAAUGCCUAGGAAUCUGCCUGGUAGUGGGGGAUAACGUCCGGAAACGGGCGCUAAUACCGCAUACGUCCUGAGGGAGAAAGUGGGGGAUCUUCGGACCUCACGCUAUCAGAUGAGCCUAGGUCGGAUUAGCUAGUUGGUGGGGUAAAGGCCUACCAAGGCGACGAUCCGUAACUGGUCUGAGAGGAUGAUCAGUCACACUGGAACUGAGACACGGUCCAGACUCCUACGGGAGGCAGCGGUGGGGAAUAUGGGACAAUGGGCGAAAGCCUGAUCCAGCCAUGCCGCGUGUGUGAAGAAGGUCUUCGGAUUGUAAAGAACUUUAAGUUGGGAGGAAGGGCAGUAAGUUAAUACCUUGCUGUUUUGACGUUACCAACAGAAUAAGCACCGGCUAACUUCGUG